AGUGAACGCUGGCGGUAGGCCUAACACAUGCAAGUCGAACGGCAGCACAGUAAGAGCUUGCUCUUACGGGUGGCGAGUGGCGGACGGGUGAGGAAUACAUCGGAAUCUACUUUUUCGUGGGGGAUAACGUAGGGAAACUUACGCUAAUACCGCAUACGACCUACGGGUGAAAGCAGGGGAUCUUCGGACCUUGCGCGAUUGAAUGAGCCGAUGUCGGAUUAGCUUGUUGGCGGGGUAAAGGCCCACCAAGGCGACGAUCCGUAGCUGGUCUGAGAGGAUGAUCAGCCACCCUGGAACUGAGACACGGUCCAGACUCCUACGGGAGGCAGCAGUGGGGAAUAUUGGACAAUGGGCGCAAGCCUGAUCCAGCCAUACCGCGUGGGUGAAGAAGGCCUUCGGGUUGUAAAGCCCUUUUGUUGGGAAAGAAAAGCAGCAGGUUAAUACCCCGCUGUUCUGACGGUACCCAAAGAAUAAGCACCGGCUAACUUCGUG
rnacentral:rRNA from 1 species